UACGUAGGGUGCGAGCGUUAAUCGGAAUUACUGGGCGUAAAGCGUGCGCAGGCGGCGCGUUAAGACAGGUGUGAAAGCCCCGAGCUUAACUUGGGAAUUGCGCUCGAAACUACUUUGCUGGAGUGUGGCAGAGGAAGGUGGAAUUCCACGUGUAGCGGUGAAAUGCGUAGAGAUCGGGAGGAACAUCAGUUGCGAAGGCGGCUCUCUGGACCAGCACUGACACUGAGGCACGAAAGCCAGGGGAGCGAACGGG
rnacentral:rRNA from 1 species